UAACAUUCUAUCACGUGUAGGUACCACAUCUUCUUUCCAUUCAUCUGUUGAUGGGCUGGUUCGAGGUUGGACCAUAUAAGAGCCACUUCAAAGCUUAAAAAGGCUGUCAGAUCAACAAAAUCAAAUGAAAGGGACUAUCAACCCAGAGACUGAUAGGUUGACUAUCAACCCAACAGUCAUAAAAGCCACAAAAGAUGGGUUUGGCUGCACAGGUCAGGUCCACACAUCAGUGGGUCCCUCUGGGAGGGCCUCUCAGAACCCCUGGGCUCCGGGGUGGGGGAGGUGGAACAUUCUGGGUUGGAGGGGAGGCCCCACUAGUCCUCUCCUUUCUUCCCCCUUCUCUUGUCCCUUUCUUGCAUCUCUGGUGCUGGCCAGGUGCUCCAUUGGGCCUUUGCACAUACUGAUAUCAGAGCCAUCCUGCCCUCAAGGGCAGUUUGUCUUCAGCAACACUUCCCUGGCCAUGUGACUGGUGCAAACACGGUCCCUGGCUUCUGCACACCCUGCCCUGCCAGCCUCUCCCACUCGGAGUCAGUGCCACUGUAGAGGACUUCGUGGCGACGGCAGGUGUCUGGCCACAGCCGGUGGGCACAGAGCUCCCCUGCCCCAUGUCCCCCAUUCAGGGGCCACCAGAGACUCGUGGAGCCCGAAACAGACCUGAGGGGAAAGAGCCAGGCUCAGACCAGUCCCACCAGAUCCAUGUCCCGCCCCCCACAGCCCCAGUUCUAUUACUCGCCCCAAGAGUAAGUUGGUGAUCCAUUUCCUAAUUUUCACUUGCUGCCUACAGAAAGGCUAAAAAGGUUGAAGUGUGUGUGAAAGCAAUCUGCCAACUAAAAUGCACGGCGCAGGUGUGUGUACAUGUGCACGAGUGUGUGUGUAUGUGUACGUGUGCACAGGUGUGUGUGUGUGUGUGUGUGCACAAAUGCGCGUAUACCUGCUUGUGUGUACAGAGGAUGCAGGGGCAGCCUGUCCUGGCCACGUGAUGGUAACGAUCAUUGAGGCAGCAGGAGAGCCCGCUGAGGCUGGAGCAGGGAGGCUGCGGUUCUGCCCCCGGGCAGCUGUCAGAAGCAGAGGAAAAUGGACUCAGCUCUCCCAGGGCCCGGGAGGGGAACGCAGGAAGCCAGGGAACAGCUCUCCUCCAUGUUGCCAGGGGACCUUCCUCCUGGAAGACAGGAGCUCAGGGUCCCUUCCUCAGUAGAAGGAUGCUGGCCAUGGACCCCAGGGGCUGCUCAUCAGGCAGAGUGUCAUGGUCUUCCAAGGCUAGGAGAGCCAGCCUAACCCCAGCUCUGCUCUUGCUGUGUGACCCGUGGUUAUGUGAACACCCUCUCUGGGCCCUGCACGUGCCACCUGCAACAGAGGGGCAGGGUGGGAGAAGAGCAGCACCCACACCCCCAACUGCUGUCAGGGCUGGCACCAGGGCACCAAGCAAACAGCGGAUUGCCUGCAGAGGCUGGCAUGGGCGGUACAGACCCCUUGGGGUCCCACGGGAGCAGCAUGACUCCAUCCAGGCUCUGAGGAUCCUGUGCUGGACCGCAUGGGCUCACAUCUGCCGUGGGGACCCAGGAAGUGGCCGGAAGAGAAGCCUGGAGCUGGGCUGGCAGCAGGAGAAGGAUUUUGCUGGGAGGCUUAUCUGGGGGCAGGCAUCCUGGGCAGGACCAGAGGUGUGGCAGGAAGGCCUGGGGAUGAAAGUGGCCGGUGCGUGGGUACCUUGAGCCCAGCCCUUACCUCCGGCACGACUUCCCUGGAUUUGCACUGUGACCCAAGGAGGUGGGUGCUGUCAACCCCACUAUGAGAGGAAGCCCAGUGAAGGGCGGUGACACCCCCAGUGCCAGGGUGCUAGGAAGUGGUGGCCUAAGUGUCAGCAGGAUGCUCUGACUCCGGGGCUGGAACCCAGGAAACAAAGCAGCUGGGGACCAUGGGCCCCUGGGCUGUCUCCAGCUCCUCCAUCCCACCCCCACAGCUCUGAAAACAGGGAUCUAUGAACUCUGCGAUGCAGCCCACUGGGCUGAGGGCAUCACUCUGGCAGGUGGCAGCCAUCGUUGGGAAGGAAACAGGGUAACAAACGUCAGAAUUCAUGAUGCGGUUAUGAUGCGUUUAGAGAAAUCCUCUUCUGGGGAAGCGUUUUGGUUCUGUGUGUACAAAGAGCUCACCCCUUAUUUCACAUGAAGCCGCUAUGAGUGCCCUGGGAUGAGAUUGGCCAUCUCCUUUCUCACCCCAGCCACCGUCAGCAAGCCCUGGAAGCCACUGCGUUCGGCCUUUUUUUUUUUUUUUUCUUUUUUUUUUUUUAAAUUUUAUUUUAUUUUUAAACUUUACAUAAUUGUAUUAGUUUUGCCAAAUAUCAAAAUGAAUCCGCCUGCGUUCGGCCUUUCUCGGCUCCUCAGGGGCCUCCGGGCUUUUGUUCUCUAAACAAGAACGCCGGUGCCGGGCACAGGACAGGAGCCAGGCCGUGCUGGAGGGCUUCCGUGCCGUGGCCCUACCCGCAUGCUGGCGCGCUGGCUGGGCAGGGGGGCGGCGCCCCUGUGUGAGGUCUGGGUGCUCAGCGUGUUGAGGUUUGGCUGCGGCUGAAUGAGGGGGACCCCAAGGCUCUGGCACGGGCCAUGUUGUCCUCUCUUCAUGAGUCCCAUGGAGUCCCUCACCUGCUGGCCAGAGGUGCCCCGAGGUCCCCAAACCCCAGGUCCCAAAGCUGUUCCACCAGGGCGCUCUCUACUCUGAGAGGUGCUGAACCCUGUGUAAUCACAGGGGGUGGGCAGAGACAGAGACCUCCCACUCCGGGGCCACACUCCGUGUGGGUGAUGAGCAGAGUGCCUUGGGGAGGAGGUGGAUGUCCAGAUGAUGAUGAUAUGGAGAUGGGGGGUCAGGGGCCAAGAAAUGCCAGGCUGGCCUGGGAGGCCUAUGGGGAAGAAGCCAGCAGUGGGCACCUGGAAGGCAGCCACGGGGUGAUCAGAUUUGUUUUCCAAUCAGGUCACUGACUCUGGCUGGAGUAGGGGGCUGGCCCUGUGUACCUAACUCUUUCCUAAUGACUCUCCUCUAACCAGAGGAAGGCCAGACUUGUGUUGGAAGCCCGGGAUGUGAGCAAAAACCGCAGUGCAUCCAGUUUCAAGUGAAGCUGUCUCCCCUCCUUUGGGCAUUGCCAGACACUGCCACUCCUUUUGUUUAUUAUCUCCAUCAAGUUUUAAGGUCUCCCAGACUGGAGGCCAUUUUUCUAAAUAUCUUUGAACAUUCCGAUGUUUAGAACAUGUGGGCUGGCUGUUUUGAUCUUAGAGGGUGCUGGGGGCCAACCUCCCCAAGGAAGGCUGGGGAGAACCCUCAGAUGCCAACCCUGCAGGGGGGUUCCUUCCCUUCCUGGUCUCAGGCCUCCUGUUUGGGCAAUUCUAAGUCCCUGGAAGGUGGCUCAGUGGUAAGGAACCUGCCUGCAAUGCAGAAGAUGUGGGCUCAAUCCCUGGGUCGGGAAGAUCCCCUGGAGGAGGGCAUGGCAACCCACUACAGUAUUUUUGCCUGGAGAAUCCCAUGGACAGAGGAGCCUGGCGGGCUACAGUCCAUAGGGUCACAAAGAGUCGGACACGGCUGAGCAACCGAACACACGUACACAGGCCCCUGGAAACCUUCAGUUGUAAUAAACAAGCACAAAGCAAGCUGGUUUUCCCACAAGAGGCCACAUGCUCCUUCUGCCCUCCUGGUUUUCCCGUUAGCUACACUGCCUGGCCCAGGUGCCACAGAAGGGGCCUUUGUUUUCCUUCUGUGAACUAAACACAUAGAACAAAACAAAAACAGAAACAACAACAACAAAAAUCCCCAACACUCUCACACACACAUAACUCCACCGUGUCCAUAGUCAGGACAGAGGCUGGAAGCCCUGUCGCCUGGCUUCACGUGGCGUGAACAAAGACAGCUGUGCUGGUCAGGCUGGGCCUCUCCAGGUGCCAGGGGAGCCCAGGGGUUUCUCGCAUCCCAGGUCUGGGUCCAUACUUUGGUCACUUGUUUUUGUGAAAAUGACCAAUGGACCCCCAACAAGGCUGCUGAGGGGGCCACCAGAGUUUUUAAAGGAGGGAAAACAUCAUAAAAUGGAGGAGGAGGGUCCUCCAGAUGGGACCAAAACAUGGACACAGGGGCAGCAGGGUACGAGGUGCCCAGGCUUGCCAUGUGGGUCUGUUCUGCACGCCCGGGGCACCUCCUGCACCCCCACUGCACACCCGACCCUCUGACUGCCUCCCAUCACACCCUCACACACAUAAGGGGUCCGAGCCACGUCGGCAUAGAUACGAACAAACGUUUUGGCCUGGUACUCCAUCCAGUAAGCCCCCACCUGCAGAACUGCAGGGCCCCUUAAACUGCAGUGCGACUAGCUGCCUCUCAACUCUUCUCCCGCGUUUCCAAGAGACAACAAAACACGUUUUCCCCUUUCCUGUCCAGUUUAAAGGUUGUUCCUAAAAAGCAAUAGUCAACUUACUUUUAGUUUUUUGAAACAGAAAAUUAUUUACCAAGAACACACGGCUUAUUUGUUUUACUCUAAGCUACUCCUUUAUUGAAACAACAUCACUGGAAAAGCCAUUUCAGUACAAAUGGAAGAUGAAUUGAAAAAUGGAUUUUUUCCUUUUUUUAAUCAUCACUGGGGUUACUGAUUUAAGGGCAGUUGUAGUUCAAACAAAGCCAAGGUCACUCAGUUUGUUACGUAAUAGUGAAAUAGUGCUGUUUUGUACAAAACAAAACCAGAUAUUCUUUCAGUUAAAAAAAAAAUUGGUGAUUUUGCCUGUGCAACUUUUAUCUCAAGUAGAAGAUGAUUCUAAUUUUAUCUGUGUUCAAUAAGCAGAUUUUUUAAAAAAAAAUCAUGAGGCUGGACGUGUUUACUUUUCCUUACAGUUCUCUGAGCAGCUGGAGAAAGUAAAAUCACCUUGAAUCUAAUGUUUUCUGAGCAUACUACAAUAGUCAGGUCCCUUAGACCCAUCUGGAACGAAAUUAAUUACAUCUAUGUGUUAGUUUAAUAGGAAACAAUUUUAUUUUCACUUGUAUUUUCCUCCGGGAUCUUAGGGAAAAAAGGAAAAAAAAAACAAAAAAACAAAAAACAAAACCCAGGAUAUCAGGAAAAGGCUUUGGUUCCUCAUGGCCCAUUUUCUCUUUAGGCUUUUUUUGGUUUCCAGCUUUUGUUUUUUUUAAUUUUUUACUGUUUUUUUUUUUGUUUGUUUGAAAAAAUACACAAAAUGGGUAUUUUAAAUAUCAAAUAAUUAUAGAAUUUGAACAUGACAAAAUUUGAGCGCCACUGUACAUUUUGACAAAAAAUAUUAUUAAAAACUACCGUCUGCUUUCACUCUAUUUACAUUCAAACGCCAUCCUUUUCAUUUCAUAUCUUCUGAUCUGUUCAACCUACCAUUUGUUACAUAUGUAAAAGUUCUGCCGACUAUUUCAGAGAAUAUUUGGGGGAAGAGUAAAAAACCGAUCUGUAAAAUUUCUACGGAAGCACGCUUGCUUAGUUCACAUUAGUUUUAAACACCGUGUCGUGCUUGAAAUGGCAAGUGUCGCUCGUGGGCACCGCGAGGCGGCUGCCCGGACUCGGGGUCGCGGCUCUUGGCGCGGCGCGGCAGGGCCGCCAAGGACCUUGCCCUCGUCCCCGAGGCCCGGCUCCGCCCGCAGCCCCCGGGCGCACUCACGCUGUCCCCCGGCCCGGGUGCCGCGCGGCCUUUGGGUCUUUACCGAGGCGAACGGAAGCGUGGGAGAGACCCCCGCGGGGACGAGAUGAAGGUGCGCGGCCUGCGUUUCGGCUCCAGCCGCGGGUCCCACCUGCUCUGCCCGGCCCCCGUGCGCCCCAGAGCCGCCGCCGCCACCGAAGCGCACAGCCAAGGCCAGCUGUCGGGACACCCCGAGCUCGUUUGGCUUCCACUGGGCAUUUCAUCUGCCUCCCCUAUCCCGACUAGUUCCGGAUUUGCAACCUCACAGGUCUGGCGUGCUGCAGUUCACGGGAUUGCAGGGAGUCAGACACGACUAAGUGACUGAGCAACCAUAUAUAUUUAAGCACAUGCUGCUUGGAGGCACUGACCAUAGAAAGCUUUAAAACCUGGCCGAUAAACACCUCCGAAGGAGCAGAGGCCAUGCCUGCCCCACGGCAGUGUUUUCAUCUAAACUUCUUCUUCAUAUUUCUCACGUCAGCACCGUUUCAACUGAAGAUCUCAAGACCAUGAUGGACAGAGAAAAGCACCUUCCUUAUGUGAAAAGUAUCAACUCGUUUCUGCUCUUCAGCAUUGUGGAGAAGCCAAGGAAACUGUAGCUCCAUGAGGCUAAAUGUCUCAUCCACCCUUGAACGGGGAUUCACACCAGACGCCAGACUUCAAGAGCGUGCGUGCUUCUCAGUAUUAAAGAGGAAUCCGGGGAGUCUUUGUUUUCAAUGGCAGCUUAUUACGUUACCAAGUCUGUAAUAGUAACUACGAAUGGCGUAAAUUAGGACACUGGGCAGAUGUCACAAUGGGUCUUUAACAGCUGCAGAAAAAUCAAGAAGACCCACAGGCAAAUUUCGAAGAAUGCAUGGCUAAUUUACAAACAAGGGGGAAACAGAAGGUUGAGAAACUCAGCGGCUUCAAAGACGGCAGAAGACGGCAAACAACUCGGAAAGCAGCCUCCGCGACUUUCAGAGAGCGCGUGCCUCGUUCGGCCUCCUACGCAGAAACCCACAGCAGAAUGUGCGCGGCGAACACGUUGCCGCGCUGCCCUCGCUUCCCCAGGGUCCUUCCGCGCACAGGAGGGUCCCAUUGCGCACAGGAGGGCCCCUCCGCGCACAGGAGGGCCCCUCCGCUGGGCUCCUUCGUGAUGCUCAGGGAUCUCAAGACGGAGCAUGUUGGAGAAGCAAGUGGUCAUCACAAGGCCCCUGGGACCACGGAGGAACUUCUGCAGGAGGCACAUUCUUUACUGCAGAGCCACCGGGAAAGCCCCUUGAAAGCUAACAUCACGUGUUAAACGCCUUUGGUGGAUAGAUGAAGCAUCACUCACUCAGCCCCAUUUUGAAGAUCUACCCUGCCUCACGCCCAGUAUGAGGCCCUGGGGCUUCCAAGGCAAAGGAGCUGGGUUCCUGCCUGCAAGGUGUUGAUGUCGCUAGCAGGGCGGUCAGAUGCGGAAACCACCAGGGGCUGGACUAGUACGGGUGCACCGUGCUCAGGAGACGGGUGAGCCCUGGACUGUGGGGUGGGCGUGGGCUGCGAGAGUGGGAAGCCAGGAUGGUGUUUGGUGCAGGGGAGGCCUUGGGGCAGGGCUGCAGGGGUGGGGGGACCUGGUGACUUUGGGGGGUUUUGUGUGCUGCGCUGAGGGGCUAGGUCUGGCCAUGGUAGGAGCUGGGUCUGUGUCUCUCAGUUGGGGGUCCUGGAAACCAGUGCCAAAGGAAUUUACUGGAGACAGAAACUUUACCAUGUUGGGCAGGGGAGUGAGUGGGAUGUGGAGGAAGGUAGAUUUUUAAAUGUGAAUAUCUUAAUUUUAUUUUACAUUGUUUUAAAUAUAACUUUAUAUAUUUUUUUUUUCUUUUUCAAGUGGGGUAGAUUUUUUGAGGAUGGCGGCUAUGACUUACUCCUCCCUGGGUCCACUGUAGUGCACAAAGGGAGUCCCCAGUUAAUUGGAAAUUAACUCUCUGUUUGCAGAGUUUCAGUAGCCGUAUUCUUCCAACUUUAUCUUUCUCAAUUUUAAAAAAAGCCCUUAAUCUUGACUGAGGAUAUAGGCUUAUGAACGUGGCCAGAAAGAAGCAAGGGAUGAGGCCCAAGUCUAUCCAGUCUGUGUUUUCUCCACUUUUCCUUCUGGGUUGGGGGAACUUCAUAGAGUCCCCCCACCCCAUACAGAAAGCAUCUUAUAUUUGAGUUGCACAUUUAGAAUACAAAAUUUGAGAAAUAAUCGCCACCACAUUCUACCAAAUACCUACCGUCUACCAGAAGCAUACAGCAUGUGUGGCCGCUGCCCUUUGAGACCUCAUGGUCUAGAUUCUUUGCUUAAUGUAGUGGAAACUGGAGGAGAUUGAAUUCUCUGAAGAAAUGAUACCCACAGAGGAGCAACAGUGCCAUCCUGUUUCUGUUUGGAAACCCUUCACGAUUUCAGAGAACGAAGAGAAACGUGCCACAAUACAAUGAUUUUUUUUUAUAAGCACAAGAGAGCUGUCUUCAGUCAGUCCCACCUGCGGAGAAUUAACUAGCCUGCCAGCAACUCUGACGGUGAAGGGGUUAAAAUAACAAAUAAAUGACUUUAUUUAGA